AAGAUUGACUAUAUUACAAUUCUUGUCCACGUUACGAAUUUCUGAUAAAUAAAUGCAUCCUUAAACACAAAAACACAACAAAAUGAAAAUAUGUUCAUCUCUACAAUUUUGUUAAGAUUGACAUAUAUUACAAUUCUUAAUGUUUAUAUAUCCAAAAACAUGUCCACACAAUCUACUAUUAUUUGUUUUCUCAAUUCAUUACGAAAUACAUGUAUCCAUA
rnacentral:lncRNA from 1 species